rnacentral:rRNA from 1 species
GUCAACUGGUUGUCGGGGAAGCAAUUCCUUGGUAACGAAGCUAACGCGUGAAGUUGACCGCCUGGGGAGUACGGCCGCAAGGUUAAAACUCAAAGGAAUUGACGGGGACCCGCACAAGCGGUGGAUUAUGUGGAUUAAUUCGAUGCAACGCGAAAAACCUUACCUACCCUUGACAUGUACGGAACCUCGCAGAGAUGUGAGGGUGCUCGAAAGAGAACCGUAACACAGGUGCUGCAUGGCUGUCGUCAGCUCGUGUCGUGAGAUGUUGGGUUAAGUCCCGCAACGAGCGCAACCCUUGCCAUUAGUUGCUACAUUUAGUUGGGCACUCUAAUGGGACUGCCAGUGACAAACCGGAGGAAGGUGGGGAUGACGUCAAGUCCUCAUGGCCCUUAUGGGUAGGGCUUCACACGUAAUACAAUGGUAGGUACAGAGGGUAGCCAACCCGCGAGGGGGAGCCAAUCCCAGAAAGCCUAUCGUAGUCCGGAUUGUAGUCUGCAACUCGACUGCAUGAAGCCGGAAUCGCUAGUAAUCGCGGAUCAGCAUGUCGCGGUGAAUACGUUCCCGGGUCUUGUACACACCGCCCGUCACACCAUGGGAGCGGGUUUCACCAGAAGUAGCUAGUCUAACCGCAAGGAGGACGGUUACCACGGUGAGAUUCGUGACUGGGGUGAAGUCGUAACAAGGUAGCCGAAUCGANNUCCCGCGGCCG